UACGAAGGGGGCUAGCGUUGCUCGGAAUUACUGGGCGUAAAGCGCACGUAGGCGGCUUCUUAAGUCGGUGGUGAAAUCCUGGAGCUCAACUCCAGAACUGCCUUCGAUACUGGGAAGCUCGAGUCCGGGAGAGGUGAGUGGAACUGCGAGUGUAGAGGUGAAAUUCGUAGAUAUUCGCAAGAACACCAGUGGCGAAGGCGGCUCACUGGUCCGGUACUGACGCUGAGGAGCGAAAGCAUGGGGAGCGAACAGG
rnacentral:rRNA from 1 species